rnacentral:rRNA from 1 species
UACGAAGGAGACGAGCGUUGUUCGGAAUUAUUGGGCGUAAAGGGUGCGUAGGCGGUUUUGUAAGUCUGAUGUGAAAUCUAUGGGCUCAACUCAUAGUCUGCAUCGGAAACUGCCGGGCUUGAGUAUGGGAGAGGUGAGUGGAAUUCCUGGUGUAGCGGUGAAAUGCGUAGAUAUCAGGAGGAACACCUGUGGCGAAAGCGGCUCACUGGACCAUAACUGACGCUGAGGCACGAAAGCUAGGGGAGCAAACAGG